rnacentral:rRNA from 1 species
AACGAACGCUGGCGGCAGGCUUAACACAUGCAAGUCGAACGCCCCGCAAGGGGAGUGGCAGACGGGUGAGUAACGCGUGGGAACGUACCUUUCAGUUCGGAAUAACUCAGGGAAACUUGUGCUAAUACCGGAUACGCCCGCAAGGGGAAAGAUUUAUCGCUGAAAGAUCGGCCCGCGUUGGAUUAGCUAGUUGGUGGGGUAAAGGCCUACCAAGGCGACGAUCCAUAGCUGGUCUGAGAGGAUGAUCAGCCACACUGGGACUGAGACACGGCCCAGACUCCUACGGGAGGCAGCAGUGGGGAAUAUUGGACAAUGGGCGCAAGCCUGAUCCAGCCAUGCCGCGUGUGUGAUGAAGGCCUUAGGGUUGUAAAGCCCUGUCGAGGGGGACGAAGUUCUGACGGUACCCCUCAAGAAAGCACCGGCUAACUCCGUGCCAGCAGCCGCGGUAAAGUACAGUGU